rnacentral:tRNA from 1 species
AAGGAUUUAAGUUAAUUUAAACUAAUAGCCUUCAAAGCUAUAAAUAAAGAUUCUUCCCUUUAAGCCUUA